UACGUAGGGGGCAAGCGUUUGUCCGGAUUCAUUGGGCGUAAAGAGCGUGUAGGCGGCCAGGCAGGUCCGCUGUGAAAACUCGAGGCUCAACCUCGAGAUGUCGGUGGAAACCGUCUGGCUAGAGUCCGGAAGAGGAGAAUGGAAUUCCCGGUGUAGCGGUGAAAUGCGCAGAUAUCGGGAAGAACACCCGUGGCGAAGGCGGUUCUCUGGGACGGUACUGACGCUGAGACGCGAAAGCGUGGGGAGCAAACAGG
rnacentral:rRNA from 1 species